AAGAGGAGAGCAUUGGAUCCAUGGAGCUGUGGAAUUCCACGAAACUCCUGAAUGCUGUGGCGGAACAAAGCGGCUCUCAAACAGCCUUCAAUGUGAAGGAAUGCCUAAUGAAUCCGACAACUGCCAGCAAAUGGAGUAGAAAGAGCCUCCGCAGGCUACAGGAGGCCGCAGGACUAGACACUGUUAAGCCGGUCGAUAGCCCCAAGAACUUGCAACGUCUAGGACCUGGAACUGGAGCUGGAACUGGCGCCUCCUCGUAUAAAUCGAGGAAAGAAAUUGGAGUUCGUAAAAAAAAGAAAACCCCAUUGACCUCCAAAGGGAAAUUGAUGAAAGAACGUGCCGAACGAAUGGAGAUGGAAAUCAAUGAUCUAAAAAAGUCUCAAACCGAAACCGAAGCCAAAGAACCUUUGCCCAAUAACAGCACCUACUCCUUGGGGGAAUCCCAUCAGAAUGAUCCGAAAUCUGCAGUCGUUGGAGANCGAGAAACCCUCAAGUUCCAGUGAAAACAAUAACCUGGCAAAAGAUCUGACCGUGAUAUAUGAAAAUCCCAAUUUUAUACAGAAAACGGACUCCAAAGGCAAUUGUGUCAUAAAAAAGCUGAAUCAAAGCCAAACGAAUUACUUUGAGUUGAAGGAUACACGUUCAAAGGUGGAGCAUAAUCCAAAGGAAUUGGCUGUAAUUGANACUAAAAUCUGAAGCCGAGAAGAGCCUCUUGCGAAGCUGCUUGGUCCAAAACGAAGACACCCUCAAGGCGAUCCAAUCAUCGUUGAAGCUCGUCAAAGAACUGCGCCAAGAGCUUGAGGGCCUAAAGACCAAUAGGAGUAUCAAAUUCUUCGAUAUAUCAAUACCAAAAGGUACCAUACGUCUUGUUGUAACGGCUUCAUUUAUAAUCAAUAUGACAGUUUUGCUGCUGGCAUUGUUGGUCUAUGUGAGGCUGCUGUUUAGAGAACCUGCCACGCCCACUUAUUGGCAGAUCAUACAGAAAUAUUUACCGAAAAAGUAGCUGCAAACAUUAUAUAUAUCUUCUUAUAUUUUUUAUAAGCACAAAAUCAAGCCAAAUCAAAGAAGUCCUGACAUAAAAUCAACUAAACGAAAAUACCAGAAAUAUCGGAACCUUGGGACACGCUGGGACUAUCCAGCAUACAAUCUUCUAGUUCUGAAUCGGGAAAAGAUGAUUCGUUGGGUUUUAUUUUCACUCCCAAAAUUCAAACUGUCUCUGGAAAGUUUUUUUCAAAUAUAUAUUAUCUAUUUUGUUAUAUUUUA
rnacentral:sRNA from 15 species